rnacentral:rRNA from 1 species
GAUGAACGCUGGCGGCGUGCCUAAUACAUGCCAGUCGAGCGAACGGACGAGAAGCUUGCUUCUCUGAUGUUAGCGGCGGACGGGUGAGUAACACGUGGAUAACCUACCUAUAAGACUGGGAUAACUUCGGGAAACCGGAGCUAAUACCGGAUGAUAUUUUGAACCGCAUGGUUCAAAAGUGAAAGACGGUCUUGCUGUCACUUAUAGAUGGAUCCGCGCUGCAUUAGCUAGUUGGUAAGGUAACGGCUUACCAAGGCAACGAUGCAUAGCCGACCUGAGAGGGUGAUCGGCCACACUGGAACUGAGACACGGUCCAGACUCCUACGGGAGGCAGCAGUAGGGAAUCUUCCGCAAUGGGCGAAAGCCUGACGGAGCAACGCCGCGUGAGUGAUGAAGGUCUUCGGAUCGUAAAACUCUGUUAUUAGGGAAGAACAUAUGUGUAAGUAACUGUGCACAUCUUGACGGUACCUAAUCAGAAAGCCCCGGCUAACUACGUG